rnacentral:rRNA from 1 species
GGNAUAACCGUNGGAANCUACGNCUAAUACCGCAUAACUNGUAAGUAGUCAGGACCAAAGGUGGCCUCUACAUGUAAGCUAUCGCGUUGGGAUGGGCCCAGUUAGGAUUAGCUAGUUGGUAAGGUAAUGGCUUACCAAGGCAACGAUCCUUAGCUGGUUUGAGAGGAUGAUCAGCCACACUGGGACUGAGCACGGCCCAGACUCNUACGGGAGGCAGCAGUGGGGAAUAUUGCACAAUGGGGGAGACCCUGAUGCAGCCAUGCCGCGUGUGUGAAGAAGGCCUUCGGGUUGUAAAGCACUUUCAGCAGUGAGGAAGGUCGUGUACUUAAUACGUGCACGGCUUGACGUUAGCUGCAGAAGAAGCACCGGCUAACUCCGUGCCAGCAGCCGCGGUAAUACGGAGNGUGCGAGCGUUAAUCGGAAUUACUGGGCGUAAAGCGCAUGCAGGCGNAUUGUUAAGUCAGAUGUGAAAGCCCGGGGCUCAACCUCGGAACCGCAUUUGAAACUGGCAGGCUAGAGUCUUGUAGAGGGGGGUAGAAUUUCAGGUGUAGCGGUGAAAUGCGUAGAGAUCUGAAGGAAUACCAGUGGCGAAGGCGGCCCCCUGGACAAAGACUGACGCUCAGAUGCGAAAGCGUGGGUAGCAAACAGGAUUAGAUACCCUGGUAGUCCACGCCGUAAACGCUGUCUACUUGGAGGUUGAGGUUUUAGACUUUGGCUUUCGGCGCUAACGCAUUAAGUAGACCGCCUGGGGAGUACGGCCGCAAGGUUAAAACUCAAAUGAAUUGACGGGGGCCNGCACAAGCGGUGGAGCAUGUGGUUUAAUUCGAUGNAACGCGAAGAACCUUACCUACUCUUGACAUCCAGCGAAGCCUUUAGAGAUAGAGGNGUGCCUUCGGGAGCGCUGAGACAGGUGCUGCAUGGCUGUCGUCAGCUCGUGUUGUGAAAUGUUGGGUUAAGUCCCGCAACGAGCGCAACCCUUAUCCUUGUUUGCCAGCACRUAAUGGUGGGAACUCCAGGGAGACUGCCGGUGAUAAACCGGAGGAAGGUGGGNACGACGUCAAGUCAUCAUGGCCCUUACGAGUAGGGCUACACACGUGCUACAAUGGCAGAUACAGAGGGCAGCGAGACAGCGAUGUUUAGCGAAUCCCUUAAAGUUUGUCGUAGUCCGGAUUGGAGUCUGCAACUCGACUCCAUGAAGUCGGAAUCGCUAGUAAUCGUGGAUCAGAAUGCCACGGUGAAUACGUUCCCGGGCCUUGUACACACCGCCCGUCACACCAUGGGAGUGGGCUGCACCAGAAGUAGAUAGCUUAACCUUCGGGAGGGCGUUUACCACGGUGUGGUUCANGACUGGG